rnacentral:rRNA from 1 species
GAUGAACGCUGGCGGCGUGCCUAAUACAUGCAAGUCGAGCGAACAGACGAGGAGCUUGCUCCUCUGACGUUAGCGGCGGACGGGUGAGUAACACGUGGAUAACCUACCUAUAAGACUGGGAUAACUUCGGGAAACCGGAGCUAAUACCGGAUAAUAUAUUGAACCGCAUGGUUCAAUAGUGAAAGACGGUUUUGCUGUCACUUAUAGAUGGAUCCGCGCCGCAUUAGCUAGUUGGUAAGGUAACGGCUUACCAAGGCAACGAUGCGUAGCCGACCUGAGAGGGUGAUCGGCCACACUGGAACUGAGACGCGGUCCAGACUCCUACGGGAGGCAGCAGUAGGGAAUCUUCCGCAAUGGGCGAAAGCCUGACGGAGCAACGCCGCGUGAGUGAUGAAGGUCUUCGGAGCGUAAAACUCUGUUAUUAGGGAAGAACAAAUGUGUAAGUAACUAUGCACGUCUUGACGGUACCUAAUCAGAAAGCCACGGCUAACUACGUG